rnacentral:rRNA from 1 species
GCCAGACUCCUACGGGAGGCAGCAGUGAGGAAUAUUGGUCAAUGGCCGAGAGGCUGAACCAGCCAAGUCGCGUGAGGGAUGACGGCCCUACGGGUUGUAAACCUCUUUUGCCGGGGAGCAAAGAGCGGGACGCGUCCCGCCUCGAGGGUACCCGGAGAAAAAGCAUCGGCUAACUCCGUGCCAGCAGCCGCGGUCAUACGUAGGAUCCGAGCAUUAUCCGGAGUGACUGGGUGUAAAGAGUUGCGUAGGUGGCAUAGUAAGUAGCUAGUGAAAUCUGGUGGCUCAACCAUUCAGACUAUUAGCUAAACUGCUAAGCUCGAGACCGUUAGGGGUAACUGGAAUUUCUAGUGUAGGAGUGAAAUCCGUAGAUAUUAGAAGGAACACCGAUAGCGUAGGCAGGUUACUGGGACGGUUCUGACACUAAGGCACGAAAGCGUAGGGAGCAAACGGGAUUAGAUACCCCAGUACG